GACGAACGCUGGCGGCGUGCCUAAUACAUGCAAGUUGAGCGCUGAAGGUUGGUACUUGUACCAACUGGAUGAGCAGCGAACGGGUGAGUAACGCGUGGGGAAUCUGCCUUUGAGCGGGGGACAACAUUUGGAAACGAACGCUAAUACAGAAUAAAAACUUUAAACACAAGUUUUAAGUUUGAAAGAUGCAAUGGCAUCACUCAAAGAUGAUCCCGCGUUGUAUUAGCUAGUUGGUGAGGUAAAGGCUCACCAAGGCGAUGAUACAUAGCCGAACUGAGAGGGUGAGCGGCAACAUGGGGAAUGGGACACGGCGCAAACUCCUACGGGAGGCAGCAGUAGGGAAUCUUCAGCAAUGGACGAAAGUCUGACCGAGCAACGCCGCGUGAGUGAAGAAGGUUUUCGGAUCGUAAAACUCUGUUGGUAGAGAAGAACGUUGGUGAGAGUGGAAAGCUCAUCAAGUGACGGUAACUACCCAGAAAGGGACGGCUAACUACGUGCCAGCAGCCGCGGUAA
rnacentral:rRNA from 1 species